UCUCUCUCUCACUUUUUUUUGCUGGCAUGUCUUACUCCUAUCCUCCUUCCUAAAACAAGGGAAUAUCUGAGGCUAUUUCUUUCAAUCUUAAACUAAACAUGAAGGAAAGAAAUGAGGGUUCUAUUAUUGUUAUUACUGCCACUGCUACUAUUUUUGGCAUGCUUGUCACCACUACUAUAAUCAUCAGAUCUACUAUCAUCAUCAUAUCCCCCAUCCUCACCACUACCAUCACCUAACCAUAUCAUUGUCAAUAUCAUAACCU
rnacentral:lncRNA from 1 species